GCAGCUGUGAAGUCGGUAGAGCAUGAGACUCUGUAUCUCAGGGUCGUGGGUUUGAGCUCCACGUUGGGCA